rnacentral:rRNA from 1 species
UACGAAGGGGGCUAGCGUUGCUCGGAAUCACUGGGCGUAAAGCGCACGUAGGCGGAUUGCUAAGUCAGGGGUGAAAUCCCAGAGCUCAACUCUGGAACUGCCUUUGACACUGGGUGUCUUGAGUAUGGAAGAGGUGAGUGGAAUUCCGAGUGUAGAGGUGAAAUUCGUAGAUAUUCGGAGGAACACCAGUGGCGAAGGCGGCUCACUGGUCCAUUACUGACGCUGAGGUGCGAAAGCGUGGGGAGCGAACAGG